rnacentral:tRNA from 1 species
UGGCUCAGUUGUUAGAGCAUAGCGCUUACAAUGCCAGGGUUGUGGGUUCAUUUCCCAC